UACGUAGGGGGCAAGCGUUAUUCGGAAUUAUUGGGCGUAAAGGGCGCGUAGGCGGCUUGGCAAGUGGAUGGUGAAAUCCCUCGGCUUAACCGAGGAACUGCCGUCCAAACUGCUUCGCUUGAGACCGGGAGAGGUGAGUGGAAUUCCCAGUGUAGCGGUGAAAUGCGUAGAUAUUGGGAGGAACACCAGUGGCGAAGGCGGCUCACUGGCCCGGUACUGACGCUGACGGUGCGAAAGCGUGGGGAGCAA
rnacentral:rRNA from 1 species